rnacentral:rRNA from 1 species
GAUGAACGCUGGCGGCGUGCCUAAUACAUGCAAGUCGAGCGAACGGACGAGAGGCUUGCUUCUCUGAUGUUAGCGGCGGACGGGUGAGUAACACGUGGAUAACCUACCUAUAAGACUGGGAUAAUUUCGGGAAACCGGAGCUAAUACCGGAUAAUAUUUUGAACCGCAUGGUUCAAAAGUGAAAGACGGUCUUGCUGUCACUUAUAGAUGGAUCCGCGCUGCAUUAGCUAGUUGGUAAGGUAACGGCUUACCAAGGCAACGAUGCAUAGCCGACCUGAGAGGGUGAUCGGCCACACUGGAACUGAGACACGGUCCAGACUCCUACGGGAGGCAGCAGUAGGGAAUCUUCCGCAAUGGGCGAAAGCCUGACGGAGCAACGCCGCGUGAGUGAUGAAGGUCUUCGGAUCGUAAAACUCUGUUAUUAGGGAAGAACAUAUGUGUAAGUAACUGUGCACAUCUUGACGGUACCUAAUCAGAAAGCCACGGCUAACUACGUG